rnacentral:rRNA from 1 species
UACGUAGGGGGCAAGCGUUGUCCGGAAUUAUUGGGCGUAAAGCGCGCGCAGGCGGCUUACUAAGUCUGGUGUGAAAGCCCACGGCUCAACCGUGGAGGGCCAUUGGAAACUGGUAGGCUUGAGUGCAGGAGAGGAGAGCGGAAUUCCAGGUGUAGCGGUGAAAUGCGUAGAUAUCUGGAGGAACACCGGUGGCGAAGGCGGCAUCCUGGACCGGUAUUGACGCUGAGGCGCGAAAGCCAGGGGAGCAAACGGG